GGCUAGUCUGAUGGUAAUGGGUUAUCAGAACUUAUUAACAUUAGUGUCACUAAUGUUGGUAUUCAAGGCCCCACUGCUAAAUUUGACUGGCUUAAA
ensembl:misc_RNA Y_RNA Y RNA